rnacentral:rRNA from 1 species
GACGAACGCUGGCGGCGUGCUUAACACAUGCAAGUCGAACGGAAAGGCCCUGCUUUUGUGGGGUGCUCGAGUGGCGAACGGGUGAGUAACACGUGAGUAACCUGCCCUUGACUUUGGGAUAACUUCAGGAAACUGGGGCUAAUACCGGAUAGGAGCUCCUGCUGCAUGGUGGGGGUUGGAAAGUUUCGGCGGUUGGGGAUGGACUCGCGGCUUAUCAGCUUGUUGGUGGGGUAGUGGCUUACCAAGGCUUUGACGGGUAGCCGGCCUGAGAGGGUGACCGGCCACAUUGGGAUGGAGCUACGGCCCAGCCUCCUCCGGGAGGCAGCAGUGGGGAAUGUUGCAUUAUGGGCUGAACGCUAAUGCAGUAACGCCGCGUGCGGGAUGACGGCCUUCGGGUUGUAAUCCGCUUUCGCCUGUGACGAAGCGUGAGUGACGGUAAUGGGUAAAGAAGCACCGGCUAACUACGUG